CCUACGGGGGGCAGCAGUGAGGAAUAUUGGUCAAUGGGCGAGAGCCUGAACCAGCCAAGUCGCGUGAGGGAGUACUGCCCUAUGGGUUGUAAACCUCUUUUGUCGGGGAGCAAAAGCCGGACGUGUCCGGCUGUGAGAGUACCCGAAGAAAAAGCAUCGGCUAACUCCGUGCCAGCAGCCGCGGUAAUACGGAGGAUGCGAGCGUUUUCCGGAUUUAUUGGGUUUAAAGGGUGCGCAGGCGGAUUUUUAAGUCAGCGGUAAAAUCGUGGGGCUCAACCCCAUCCAGCCGGUGAAACUGGGGAUCUAGAGUGUGCGUGAGGUAUGCGGAAUGCGUGGUGUAGCGGUGAAAUGCAUAGAUAUCACGCAGAACCCCGAUUGCGAAGGCAGCAUACCGGUGCACAACUGACGCUCAGGCACGAAAGCGUGGGUAUCGAACAGGAUUAGAUACCCCGGUAGUC
rnacentral:rRNA from 1 species